AAAACAUUAAAAAAAAAAAAAAACUACAGAAAUCAAACUGAUCGCUAAAUCGUAUAGCAUAUCACUCAUCCUGUACAAGUAUUCGUAAUAAAUUACGAACAAAUUGAAUGAUUGAAAUAUUGAUAAACGCUGAAUCGUGUGGAGUAUUAUUAAAAUUCUCACUCUGAAUAGCAGACGACAAAUAAUAAUAAUAGUUUAGAUCCAUAGUAUAGAGUUCGGCUCUCUGGUUUGGAAGCCUAAAAGUGUUGGGCGGAUUAAUAAACUCGAGAGGGCGCAAAGAAGGUAAUAUUUUCCGAAACGAUUUCGAUAAGAUCACGCGAC